GUCUAUGGCCAUGCUACCCUGAACAAGCCUGAUGCUGCCUGAUCUCAGAAGUUAAGCAGGGUUUGGCCUGGUUAGUACUUGGAUGGGAGACCACCUAGGAAGACCAGGCGCUGUAGGCG
rnacentral:rRNA from 1 species